CACGUAGGGCGCAAGCGUUGUCCGGAAUUAUUGGGCGUAAAGGGCUCGUAGGCGGUUCGUCACGUCGGGAGUGAAAACUCGGAGCUUAACUCCGAGCCUGCUUCCGAUACGGGCAGACUAGAGGUAGGCAGGGGAGAGCGGAACUCCUGGUGUAGCGGUGGAAUGCGCAGAUAUCAGGAAGAACACCGGUGGCGAAGGCGGGUCUCUGGGCCGAUACUGACGCUGAGGAGCGAAAGCGUGGGGAGCAAACAGG
rnacentral:rRNA from 1 species